GGCGUGGCUCAAUGGUAGAGCAGCUGAUUUGUAAUCAGCAGGUUGGGGGUUCGAUUCCCUUCGCC
rnacentral:tRNA from 1 species